rnacentral:rRNA from 1 species
UGGUCAAGCUACAAAGGGCUCACGGUGGAUACCUUGGCACACAGAGGCGAUGAAGGACGUGGUUACCUGCGAUAAGUCUCGGGGAGCUGGAAACGCGCUUUGAUCCGGGAAUUUCCGAAUGGGGCAACCCCUAGAACGGCCGCCUGAAUCCAUAGGGCGGUGCGAGCCAACCCAGCGAACUGAAACAUCUUAGUAGCUGGAGGAAAGGAAAGU